rnacentral:rRNA from 1 species
GAUGAACGCUAGCGGCAGGCUUAACACAUGCAAGUCGAGGGGUAUAGGAAGCUUGCUUCCUAGAGACCGGCGCACGGGUGCGUAACGCGUAUGCAACCUACCUUUUACAGAGGGAUAGCCCCAGAGAAAUUUGGAUUAAUACCUCAUAGUAUAUGUUUUUCGCAUGUUAGACAUAUUAAAGUAACAACGGUAAAGAUGGGCAUGCGUCCUAUUAGCUAGAUGGUAAGGUAACGGCUUACCAUGGCAACGAUAGGUAGGGGUCCUGAGAGGGAGAUCCCCCACACUGGUACUGAGACACGGACCAGACUCCUACGGGAGGCAGCAGUGAGGAAUAUUGGACAAUGGGCGCAAGCCUGAUCCAGCCAUGCCGCGUGCAGGAAGAAGCAUCUAUGGUGUGUAAACUGCUUUUGUACGGGAAGAAACACCCCCUCGUGAGGGAGCUUGACGGUACCG